rnacentral:rRNA from 1 species
GAUGAACGCUAGCUACAGGCUUAACACAUACAAGUCGAGGGGAAACGACAUCGAAAGCUUGCUUUUGAUGGGCGUCGACCGGCGCACGGGUGAGUAACGCGUAUCCAACCUGCCCACCACUUGGGGAUAACCUUGCGAAAGUAAGACUAAUACCCAAUGAUAUCUCUAGAAGACAUCUGAAAGAGAUUAAAGAUUUAUCGGUGAUGGAUGGGGAUGCGUCUGAUUAGCUUGUUGGCGGGGUAACGGCCCACCAAGGCAACGAUCAGUAGGGGUUCUGAGAGGAAGGUCCCCCACAUUGGAACUGAGACACGGGCCAAACUCCUACGGGAGGCAGCAGUAAGGAAUAUUGGUCAAGGGACGAGAGUCUGAACCAGCCAAGUAGCGUGCAGGAAGACGGCGCUAGGGGUUGUAAACUGCUUUUAUAAGGGAAUAAAGUGAGUCUCGGGAGACUUUUUGCAUGUACCUGAUGAAUAAGGACCGGCUAAUUCCGUG